rnacentral:rRNA from 1 species
AGAGUUUGAUCAUGGCUCAGGAUGAACGCUAGCUACAGGCUUAACACAUGCAAGUCGAGGGGAAACGGACAUCGAAAGCUUGCUUUUGAUGGGCGUCGACCGGCGCACGGGUGAGUAACGCGUAUCCAACCUGCCCACCACUUGGGGAGUAACCUUGCGAAAGUAAGACUAAUACCCAAUGACGUCUCUAGAAGACAUCUGAAGGAGAUUAAAGAUUUAUCGGUGAUGGAUGGGGAUGCGUCUGAUUAGCUUGUUGGCGGGGUAACGGCCCACCAAGGCGACGAUCAGUAGGGGUUCUGAGAGGAAGGUCCCCCACAUUGGAACUGGGACACGGUCCAAACUCCUACGGGAGGCA